rnacentral:rRNA from 1 species
CCUACGGGAGGCAGCAGUGAGGAAUAUUGGUCAAUGGACGAGAGUCUGAACCAGCCAAGCAGCGUGAAGGAUGACUGCUCUAUGGGUUGUAAACUUCUUUUAUACAGGAAUAAAACGAGGCACGUGUGCCUUUUUGAAUGUACUUUAUGAAUAAGGAUCGGCUAACUCCGUGCCAGCAGCCGCGGUAAUACGGAGGAUCCGAGCGUUAUCCGGAUUUAUUGGGUUUAAAGGGUGCGUAGAUGGGUUGUUAAGUCAGUUGUGAAAUGUUGCGGCUCAACCGUAAAAUUGCAAUUGAUACUGUCAGUCUUGAGUACAGUUGAGGUAGGCGGAAUUCGUGGUGUAGCGGUGAAAUGCUUAGAGAUCACGAAGAACCCCGAUUGCGAAGGCAGCUUACUAAACUGUGACUGACAUUGAUGCUCGAAAGUGUGGGUAUCAAACAGGAUUAGAUACCCCUGUAGUC